GUGGUCAACCAGAAAAGCUCUGAAGAUGAGAUGGGGGAAAACAGAAUUUUUGACCUUCCUUCAGCUAAUUGGAAUGUAUUUGGCAAUCGAAGAGUAUAAAACUUCUUUUUAAGUUGUGAUUAAACAUCGAGACUUUGAUGUUUUAAACGGCAUUCUUCCCCACAAUUAACUUCAUUAGUGCAGUUAAUUAGUGGGGAAGAAUACCGUAUAAAACAUCAAAGCCUCAGUGUUUAGUGUCACCAUCAGUUCAGCUAAAUAGUAAUAGAGAAAUAAUUUCUUAAAACACAUUUAUGCAUGCUCAGCACUUCUAUUUACAAGUUCAAAGUGUAUGAUAGAAACAUUUUUUAAAAUAUCCAAAGACGCUAUCCACGCUGCAAUCCAACGGCACUGACAGCAACAGGACACCAUUUUAUGUAGUAUAAUUAAGUGGCCAAGAAUGCCACAUAAAGCAAAAGAAUUGAGACAUUUAAUCAGUUAUGAGGACUGUUAUAAAUCUACCAAUACUGUGAAAUGAAGGAAUGGGGGAUACCCAAGGGAAACAGUCACAAGAACUAUGUAACCUGAAGGCUAAUUCUAAUUAGGCAUUAGACAGUGGGUUUAGCUUCAAUCUUUUGGGGGUAGAGGGGGAGGCCAAGCUAUAAAACAAGAACUGCAGAUGGCAAGUCCUUAUAAGCACUGUUGGACAGCACCAAGUAUACUGUGACCCUUCCUUUGCUACACAUUGUGCAGAGAUGGUGAGACUAGCAAGGUGGGACUUCUCAAUGUGAAGCUCAUAGCUACUGACUCUACUGAACAAGGAAAGGAAGUUCUCAUCUCUAGGUGGGAGGGACCAGAGAUGUCAUCUAGCCCCUUGCUACUCAAAGUGUGGUCUACUGUACAGCAGCAUCUCCUGAGGGCUUGUUAGAAACGCAGAAUCCCAGCCUCACCCCCAGAUCUACUGAAUCAGAAUCUACAUUAUAACCAACAUGUGUGCUUUUCAUGCUCAUUAAAAAGUUUGAGAAGCACUUGUCUAUCUUAACCUCUUCAUUCUGUACAGGAGGAAACCUGAAUCCUAGAGGAUGAAGUAACUCAUGCAAAGUCACAAAGGGCUCAAACUUGAAGACAGGCCACUGAUUUUAAGGACUAACUCUUACAGGAAGCUCAGCAAAUGACAUCUGUAUAUUGUGUAAAGAAACCAGCCUGUACAAAGAGCAUCGAGGAAACAUCAAGAAAAAAGGGCAAGGAAGGGGCCAAGGAAUGACAAGGGGCUUGCUUCAUUAGGGCUGACAAUUCUGGAUCCAAAUAUAUUUGAUGUAGGCUGAGAACUCUACCAAACAAGUAAGAAGUGAAAACUUGUAAGUUCUACAAAAAUGAAAGAAGAAAAAAUAAUGUUACAAUGUUUUGUUUUGUUUUUUGAAAAGAUCAGAAAAGGAAGAGCUCUGAGGCCUCCACUUGAGAGAUUUUUUUGAAGGGAGAGACAAAGAAGAAAAUUUGGCACCCGUGGGGCCAGCACAUAUGACCACACAGGAUGUAGAUGAUACAACUCCAGACACAGCAGAACACCAUAGAUUCAUGUGAAUUGUGCUUCUGCAUAACUUGUAUGUGGCCAUGGCAACACUAACCCAAGCCCACGAACGAGUGAGGAGCAUGGUGAGCUUGAUACAUCACUCACGGAUGGAUCCAAAGGUCAAUUAGAAUUUGGGGGAAAAGAAGAAUGUAGGCUACAUAAUGCAAACUGAAGCAACACUAUCAUUACUGUUAAUCUAUAAUUAAUGUGUGUCUUCCCAGUGAAAUGUGAGCUCCAUGUGGGCAGAAAUUUCUUCAUGGUUUUUACCACUGUAUCCCCAGGGCCUAAGUGCAGUGCCUGCACCUGACUAGAUGAUACCAAAUGACAAAAUUUUAAAAGCUUUUAGUACGUAUGGUUUUGGGGGCUUAUUAAAUAUAGACACUCACUGGAUUUAGCAUCAUACAGCAAGUACUUCACUGACGAUGAAACACAACUGACAGAUAAACUUCACUCUUGGGAGCCAUUAUUAGUUUCCUGGGGCUGCCACAACAAACCACCACAAACUAGGUGGCUUAAAGCAACACACAUUUAUUUCUUGUGGUUCUGGAGCCUGUAAGUCUGAAAUGAAGGCACUGGCAGGACCAGGCUCCCUCCAAAGGCUCCAGGGGAAGAAUCCUUCUUUGUCUCUUCCAGCUUCUGGUGGUUGCUGGCAAUCCUUGGCAUUCCUUGGUUUGCGGCAGCACAACUCCAGUCUUUCCUCUUUGCUUUCUGGUGGACUUCCUUUCUGUGCCUCUGUAUUGUCAAACCUCUCUCUCCUUAUAAAGACAUGAGUCACUGGAUGCAGAGCCAACUUUAUUCCCAGAUGACCUCAUUUUAACUUGAUGACAUCUGCCAAGACCCUAUUUCUAAAUAAAGGCACAUCCACAGGUAGCGGGGAUCAGAAUUGUAUUACAUCUUUAUGAGACACAAUUCACCCCAGAAGAGGAAUCAGUAUUACAGAUGUUUUGAUAAUGUUUACAAACUGAUUGGCUCAAAGCUUUUAAAAAAAGUUUAAAAAGAUAAAUGAUAUGCCUAAAUAAUGUAACUGAUAUGUAAACUUUCUAAAUUACAGUCAUCCUUAGGUUAUCCAUGGGGGUACGGUUCCAGGACACUCCUCCCUCUCCCUUGCAGAUACCACAUCAGAGGGCACACAAGUCCCUGAUAUAAAAUGGUGUACUAUCCACAUAUAACCUAGACACAUCCUUUUGUAUAUUUUAAAUCACCUGUAAGUUGCUUACAAUAACCAUUUAUAAUAUUAUUCAUAAUACCUAAAUCAUCUCUCUCUGUAUCAUUUAUAAUACAAUGUAAAUGCUGUGUAAACAGUUGUUAGUUUCAUUAUUUUUUACUUGUACGUUUUACUGUAUUUUUUCCCCCAAAUACUUUCCAUCUGUGGGUAGCUGACUCUCAGGAUGAGGAACCCUGGAAUAUAGAGGGCCAUCCGUACUUGGGAGUCAGUUUCUGAAAUCAGCUUCUUCUCUGGUAAAACACCAAAUGGCGGAUGACGUCGGUGCAGCGGGCGGGGGAGGGGGGGGCGGCGCAGGUCCCGAGAUGGGGAACCGCGGUUGGCUUCCGCGGAGGUUUCAGCAGUGGCAUCCGGGGCCGGGGUCAUGGCCAUGGACGCGGCUGGGGCUGGGGCUGGGGCCGAGGCCGCGGAGCUCGCGGAGGCAAGGCCGAGGAUAAGGAGUGGGUGCCUGUCACCAAAUUGGGCCGCCUGGUCAAGGACAUGAACAUCAAGUCUCUGGAGGAGAUCUAUCUCUUCUCUCUGCCCAUCAAGGAAUCUGAGAUCACUAACUUUUUCCUGGGGGCCUCUCUCAAGGAUGAGGUUUUGAAGAUUAUGCCGGUACAGAAGCAGACCCGUGCUGGCCAGCGCACCAGGUUCAAGGCGUUUGUUGCUAUCAGGGACUACAGUGGUCACGUCGGUCUGGGUGUUAAGUGCUCCAAGGAGGUGGCCACUGCCAUCCGUGGGGCCAUCAUCCUGGCCAAGCUCUCAAUUGUCACCAAGUGCAGAGGCUACUUGGGGGAACAAGAUCGGCAAGCCCCACACCGUCCCUUGCAAGGUGACAGGCCGCUGUGGCUCUGUACUGGGGCGCCUCAUCCCCAUGCCCGGGGCACUGGCAUUGUCUCAGCACCUGUGCCCAAGAAGCUGCUCACGAUGGCUGGUAUCGAUGACUGCUACACCUCAGCCAGGGGCUGCAAUGCCACCUUGGGCAACUUCACCAAGGCCACCUUUGAUGCCAUCUCUGAGACUUACAGCUACCUGACCCCCCACCUCUGGAAGGAGACUGUAUUCACCAAGUCUCCCUAUCAGGAAUUCACUGACCACUUCGUCAAGAACCACACCAGAGUCUCCAUGCAGAGGACCCAAGCUCCAGCUGUGGCUACAACAUAGGAUUUUUAUACAAGAAAAAUAAAGUGAAUUAACACUGCAAAAAAAAAAAAAA